UACGGGGGGGGCAAGCGUUGUUCGGAAUUACUGGGCGUAAAGGGCGCGUAGGCGGCCUGCUAAGUCGGAUGUGAAAUCCCUCGGCUCAACCGAGGAACUGCAUCCGAUACUGGCGGGCUUGAAUCCGGGAGAGGGAUGUGGAAUUCCAGGUGUAGCGGUGAAAUGCGUAGAUAUCUGGAGGAACACCGGUGGCGAAGGCGGCAUCCUGGGACCGGUAUUGACGCUGAGGCGCGAAAGCUAGGGGAGCAAACGGG
rnacentral:rRNA from 1 species